AGGACGAACGCUGGCGGCGUGCUUAACACAUGCAAGUCGAACGGUGAAGCCCUUCGGGGUGGAUCAGUGGCGAACGGGUGAGUAACACGUGGGCAAUCUGCCCUGCAUUCUGGGACAAGCCUUGGAAACGAGGUCUAAUACCGGAUACGACGCAUCUCCGCAUGGGGUGUGCGUGGAAAGCUCCGGCGAUGCAGGAUGAGCCCGCGGCCUAUCAGCUUGUUGGUGGGGUAAUGGCCUACCAAGGCGACGACGGGUAGCCGGCCUGAGAGGGCGACCGGCCACACUGGGACUGAGACACGGCCCAGACUCCUACGGGAGGCAGCAGUGGGGAAUAUUGCACAAUGGGCGAAAGCCUGAUGCAGCGACGCCGCGUGAGGGAUGACGGCCUUCGGGUUGUAAACCUCUUCAGCAGGGAAGAAGCGCAAGUGACGGUACCUGCAGAAGAAGCACCGGCUAACUACGCGCCAGCAGCCGCGGUAAU
rnacentral:rRNA from 1 species